ACGAACGCUGGCGGCGUGCUUAACACAUGCAAGUCGAACGGGUCUGCCCUGUUUUUUGCGGGGUGGGUCAGUGGCGAACGGGUGAGUAACACGUGAGUAACCUGCCCCUCACUUCUGGAUAACCGCUUGAAAGGGUGGCUAAUACGGGGUGUUCUGGCUGUGCCGCAUGGUGUGGCUGGGAAAGAUUCACUUUUGUGGUGUUUUGGUGGGGGAUGGGCUCGCGGCCUAUCAGCUUGUUGGUGGGGUGAUGGCCUGCCAAGGCUUUGACGGGCAGCCGGCCUGGGAGGGGGGGGGGUUAAAGGGGGAGUGGGGUACCGCCCAGGAUCCGGGGGGGGGGAGCAGGGGGGGGGAUUGCCAAAUGGGGGGGAGGCUGAAGCAGCGGCGGCGGGGGGGGGGUGGGGGGCUUGGGGGUGUGGACCCUUUUUGGCGGUGAAGAAGGGCCCGCUUUUUGUGGGGGGGUUGACGGUAGCCGGGGUAUGAAGCCCCGGCUAACUACGG
rnacentral:rRNA from 1 species